CCUCGGAUAUUUAAAAGCGCUCAUAUUUUGAUCAUUUUCAAGUUCAUAAUUGUAUUUAGAGGUUCUAUCAGAAUAGGUUAACAUGGUUCAAUUUUC